rnacentral:rRNA from 1 species
UACGUAGGGGACAAGCGUUGUCCGGAUUUAUUGGGCGUAAAGGGCGCGUAGGCGGCGCGGUAAGUUACCAGUGAAAUCUCCGGGCUCAACUCGGAGCCUGCUGGCGAAACUGCCGUGCUGGAGUAUGGGAGGGGUGCGUGGAAUUCCUGGUGUAGCGGUGAAAUGCGUAGAGAUCGGGAGGAACACCGGUGGCGAAAGCGGCGCACUGGACCAUAACUGACGCUGAGGCGCGAAAGCUAGGGGAGCAAACAGG